rnacentral:rRNA from 1 species
GAUCCUAGCUCAGGAUGAACGCUAGCUACAGGCUUAACACAUGCAAGUCGAGGGGCAGCAUCAUCAAAGCUUGCUUUGAUGGAUGGCGACCGGCGCACGGGUGAGUAACACGUAUCCAACCUGCCGACAACACUGGGAUAGCCUUUCGAAAGAAAGAUUAAUACCGGAUGGCAUAAUUAUUCCGCAUGGGAUAAUUAUUAAAGAAUUUCGGUUGUCGAUGGGGAUGCGUUCCAUUAGG